rnacentral:lncRNA from 1 species
AGCCCUGGCGUGGGGUUCUUCUUUCUUGUCCGUUCUUCUUGAGGCCACGGAGGGUAAAACUUGGUCUUAUGAAAUUCGGGCUUAAGACUUUGUCUUAUGAGAUAUUUAAGCUUGUCUCAUGGUAAGCCUGCCUGCUCUCUCUGCUCUCUGCAGCGUCUUUUUUUUUUUUCCUCUUUCCCUCUGCAUUCUGAUAUUGCUCUCUUGGUUUUUUUUUUUUUAUUUCUUCAUUUUAUUUUUUUAUUUUUUUUAUGUUUUUUUCCAUUUUUUAUUAGGUAUCUCUUGGUUUUUUAUGUUACCUGUAAUUUCUAAGUUAUUCUACUCUGUAUUCUUUUUCUAAUCUUAUUCUCUCCUCCUGCUCUGAAGAUACAACAAUGUUCUUACUCUCAAUGCCUUUUCUCCCAAAGCUAUGCCUAUAUUUCUAAGUUCUUCUUGAAUUCAAUUCUGUCUAAAAAGUGUUCUGUCUAAAAACUUCUCAGCUCAGUUCCUUCUCACAGCUCAAUUCUUCUAAGCUCUGUUCUGACUCUUCUUAUUUUCCUCAGCACUCAAACAUCUUUCAGAAUACAUGAUCACAUGUUACAAUGUUCAUCACAAGUUCACUCAAAAAAUCAAAUCAUAAAUUAAAAUAGAAGUUAACAACAGAGAAUGUUUACAUGCAUAUCCAUUAGGACUAGUUAUCUGGCUAAACAUCCAUCACCUGUCUCAGCUCCACAGGUUCCCUGAAGGUUUAAAACCAUAACUAAGUUGUGAGUGAAGUUUUGUAUAGAUAAACCCAGUCAAUAUUUUAUCUUAUAUCCUAGCACCUAUAAUAAAUCAUUAGUUCCCUUUCUAUGACCUUCGAUUAAUUGUUUUACACCCUCUUGGAAUGUGCUUUGAGUAGGAGAAAGUAUGGUUACAAUCUAAGAGCAAUUAACUGGUAACACUUGGGAGACUGGCAGAGUUCUCAUUGCAGGUUUGAUUAUCAGAAAAGGAUCUAAAGCAGUCCCACUAUAAAAGAGCUUAGUAAUCACUGGUAUAAUUUUAGAAAUUUUUAUAGGAUUAUAGUCAUUAAGACUUAAGUCAUCUAUUUGUCUAUAUAACAUCACUACAAGACAGUAAGUACAUCUUUGUGGAUCUGCAGAGAUCUGCUUUAAAGGAGUGCGAUACUACUUAGUGAUUGUUAUAUAUGUUUAAUAAGAACAGGAAAAGCAUAUUAAUAACAGGAAUGUUUCCUAAAAUGAAUACCUUACAGCCUUGCUUAAUAAGGGUGCACCUGUUGCAGAUUAUAUAAUAAUCCGAAGCUGUUGCAGAUAAUAUAAUAAUCCGAAGCAGGACAUUUCAGGAUGGUCACCUGCUAGUUAUCAGCUUCUCCCAUUAUGGCUCCUAACAUAAGUGUUUGGGUUAGAGCAACACUCAUGUUCCUCUAAAAAUUACUCUUAGCUUGCUCUUGGUUGUCAAUCCCUCUACUCAUUAUCCAGCCAAGUCUUGUUCUUUUUCUUUAACACACAUCAUAGCUCCAAGACUUUCAUCUGUGCCAUUAUUAUUCUCAACCUUCUCAGUACUAUGUCCAGGUAAUGUCCAUGGUCCAGGUAGUGUCCAUGGUCCAGGUAAUGCCCAUGGUCGUCCAUAACUGCACCCUAGUCUUUUUAUAUCCCCAAUGACUCCAGCUCUCAUUUCCCAUUUGAUUCUUCUGAAAUGCCUUUAUUCUUUCAGAUCUCAUCCCUAGACUGGUCACUUUAAGGGUUCAGGAGUCACUAAUACUACUUGUACCACACUAUUCUACAUUCGUGAGUACUUUUUAAUCUCCUUGAAUUGUUUGCAAACAGGUUGCUGUCAUGAGCUGUUGUUGUCUUCAGGGGCAGUCUCUGGAUGGUCAUUUUAAGAAGAGUGUAUUAUUCAGGAUUUCUAUUCCUGAACAAAACAUCAUGACCAAGAAGCAACUUGGAGGAAAGGGAAACCCUUUCAGCUUUCACAUCUACAUUGCUGUUCAUUACCAAAUGAAGUCAGGACUGAAACUCAAGCAGGUUAGGAAGCAGGAGCUGAUGCAGAGGCCAUGGAAGGAUGUUACUUACUGGCUUGCUUUCCCUGGUUUGGUCAGCUUGCUUUCUUAUAGAACCCAAGAAUAACAUCCCAGGGAUGGCAUCACCCACAAGGGGUGAAGCACUCCCCCCAGUGAUCACUAAUUGAGAAAAUGCCUUAUGGUUGGAUCUCAUGGAGGCAUUUCCUUAAGGGAGGCUCCUUUCUCUGUGAUAACUCCAACUUGUGUCAAGUUGACACACAGAACUAGCCAGUACAAAGAGAACAGGAUACUCACAGGUACAGAAGUAAGAUUGAUGUGAGGCCAGAGGAAGAAGGCAUCCAUCUACAGUCAUGGACAGGGACCUCGGAAUAAACCAACGCUUCUAAAAUCAUUAUCUGUGACUCCCAGCCUCUGGAACUGUGAGAGAAUGCUGCUGUGUCUGUAUUAGUUACUUUUGUUGUUUCUGUGGCAAAAAAUCUCACAAAGGUAACUUUAGGAAGAAAGGACUUAUUUUGGUUCCCAAUUGAAAGGUUCAAUUCAUUUUGGUGGCAAAGCUAAAGAGGCAAGAGAUGGGAGGCAGCUGGUCACAUUGCAUUUAUGGUCAGGAAGUGCAGAUAAAUGAUGCUACUCAGCUUACUCUCUCCUUUUUAUUCAGUCCAGGACCCCCGUCCAAGAAAUUGUCUUGUCCACAUUGAGGGUGGGUAACAUAAUCUAAAUAAACUCAGACAUACCUAGAGUUUUAUUCCCAUGGCGAUUCUAAAUUCCAUGAAGUUGACAAUCAUAAUUAACCACCUUGCUAUGUUGUAUCCCUUAAAAUGAGGUAUUUCUGUUAUAAAGAUUUAUGUACUGUUAUGUAUAUAACUAUGCAUGUAUAUAUGUGUACCACAGUGUGCAGAGUUUGGAAAGGUGAGAAGAAGAUGUUGAAUCUUCCAUAACUAGAGAUGCAAGUUGUGAGCUCUUAUGUGGUUGCUGGGAACUGAAACCUAGUCCUCUACUAGUACUUUUUUAAAAAACAAACAACAACAACAACAACACAAAAAAACCCAGAAACUAGGUUUUUCAUUUAGUAUAUUCUGAUUGUACUCUCCCCUCCCCCAAGUCUCUCAGAUCUUCCCCAGUUUCCCACCUACCCCAAAUCCACAGUCUUUAUUUCUCUCUCUCAUCAGGAUACAAGCAGGCAUCCAAAACUAAUACAAUAAAAUAUAAUUAGAUAUAAUAAAAUCAAACCACAAUAGGACAAAGCAGGGAAACAG